GAUGAACGCUGGCGGCGUGCCUAAUACAUGCAAGUCGAGCGAAUGGAUUAAGAGCUUGCUCUUAUGAAGUUAGCGGCGGACGGGUGAGUAACACGUGGGUAACCUGCCCAUAAGAAUGGGAUAACUCCGGGAAACCGGGGCUCAUACCGGAUAACAUUUUGAAACGCAUGGUUCGUAAUUGAAUGGCGGCUUCGGCUGUCACUUAUGGAUGGACCCGCGUCGCAUUAGCUAGUUGGUGAGGGAACGGCUCACCAAGGCAACGAUGCGUAGCCGACCUGAGAGGGUGAUCGGCCACACUGGGACUGAGACACGGCCCAGACUCCUACGGGAGGCAGCAGUAGGGAAUCUUCCGCAAUGGACGAAAGUCUGACGGAGCAACGCCGCGUGAGUGAUGAAGGCUUUCGGGUCGUAAAACUCUGUUGUUAGGGAAGAACAAGUGCUAGUUGAAUAAGCUGGCACCUUAACGGUACCUAACCAGAAAGCCACGGCUAACUACAUGCCAGCAGCCGCAGUAA
rnacentral:rRNA from 1 species